rnacentral:rRNA from 1 species
UACGGGGGGGAGCAAGCGUUUGUUCGGAUUUACUGGGCGUAAAGGGCGCGUAGGCGGCCACCGCAAGUCGAUUGUGAAAUCUCCGGGCUUAACCCGGAAAGGUCAACCGAUACUGCGGGGCUAGAGUGCAGAAGGGGCAACUGGAAUUCUCGGUGUAGCGGUGAAAUGCGUAGAUAUCGAGAGGAACACCGGCGGCGAAGGCGGUUCUCUGGGCCUUACCUGACGCUGAGGAGCGAAAGCGUGGGGAGCGAACAGG